CAUGCAAGUCGAACGGAAACCUUCGGGUUUUAGUGGCGAACGGGUGAGUACACGUAAGCAACCUACCCUAAAGACGAGGAUAACCAUUGGAAACAGUGGCUAAGACUGGAUAGGAAGAUAAAAGGCAUCUUUUAUCUUUUAAAAGACCUAGUAAUAGGUAUGCUUUAGGAGGGGCUUGCGCCAUAUUAGUUAGUUGGUAGGGUAAUGGCCUACCAAGACGAUGAUGUGUAGCUGGACUGAGAGGUUGAACAGCCACAUUGGGACUGAGACACGGCCCAAACUCCUACGGGAGGCAGCAGUAGGGAAUUUUCGGCAAUGGAGGAAACUCUGACCGAGCAACCGCCGCGUGAAUGACGAAGUACUUCGGUAUGUAAAGUUCUUUUAUCAAGGAAGAAAAGCAAAUGGCGAACCAUUUGUUUGCCGGUACUUGAUGAAUAAGCCCCGGCUAAUUAUGUGCCAGCAGCCGCGGUAAGACAUAAGGGGCAAGUGUUAUCCGGAAUUAUUGGGCGUAAAGGGUGCGUAGGCGGUCUAGUAAGUCAGUGGUGUAAUGGCAACGCUUAACGUUGUCCGGCUAUUGAAACUGCUAAACUUGAGUUAGAUAGAGGCGAGUGGAAUUCCAUGUGUAGCGGUAAAAUGCGUAAAUAUAUGGAGGAACACCAGAGGCGUAGGCGGCUCGCUGGGUCUUAACUGACGCUGAGGCACGAAAGCGUGGGGAGCAAACAGGAUUAGAUACCCUGGUAGUCCACGCCGUAAACGAUGAGUACUAAGUGUCGGGUUAAACCGGUACUGAAGUUAACACAUUAAGUACUCCGCCUGAGUAGUACGUACGCAAGUAUGAAACUUAAAGGAAUUGACGGGACUCCGCACAAGCGGUGGAUCAUGUUGUUUAAUUCGAAGAUACCCGAAAAACCUUACCAGGUCUUGACAUGUUUUUGCAAAAUGAUAGUAAUAUCGUGGAGGUUACCAGAAACACAGGUGGUGCAUGGUUGUCGUCAGCUCGUGUCGUGAGAUGUUAGGUUAAGUCCUAAAACGAGCGAAACCCUUAUCGUUAGUUGCCAGCACGUUAUGGUGGGGACUUUAACGAGACUGCCAAUGAUAAAUUGGAGGAAGGUGAGGAUCACGUCAAAUCAGCAUGCCCCUUAUGACCUGGGCUACAAACGUGAUACAAUGGCUGUUACAAAGGGUAGCUGAAACGCAAGUUCUUGGCCAAUCCCCAAAAACAGUCCCAGUCCGGAUUGAAGUCUGCAACUCGACUUCAUGAAGUUGGAAUCGCUAGUAAUCGCGAAUCAGCAUGUCGCGGUGAAUACGUUCUCGGGGUUUGUACACACCGCCCGUCAAACCACGAAAGUGGCAAUACCCCAAAAGCGACAGCCUAACUGGCUAAGC
rnacentral:rRNA from 1 species